rnacentral:rRNA from 1 species
GACGAACGCUGGCGGCGUGCCUAAUACAUGCAAGUCGAGCGGACUUUCAAGAAGCUUGCUUUUUGAAAGUUAGCGGCGGACGGGUGAGUAACGCGUGGGCAACCUGCCUGUAAGACGGGGAUAACUCCGGGAAACCGGGGCUAAUACCGGAUAAUAUCUUUCUUCGCAUGAAGGAAGGUUGAAAGGCGGCGCAAGCUGCCGCUUGCAGAUGGGCCCGCGGCGCAUUAGCUAGGUGGUGGGGUAACGGCUCACCAAGGCGACGAUGCGUAGCCGACCUGGGAGGGUGAUCGGCCACACUGGGACUGAGACACGGCCCAGGCUCCUACGGGAGGCAGCAGUAGGGGAUCUUCCGCAAUGGACGAAAGUCUGACGGAGCAACGCCGCGUGAGCGAAGAAGGUCUUCGGAUCGUAAAGCUCUGUUGUCAGGGAAGAACAAGUACCGUUCGAAUAGGGCGGUACCUUGACGGUACCUGACCAGAAAGCCACGGCUAACUACGUGCCAGCCGCCGCCGUAA